GUGGCGAACGGGUGAGUAACACGUGAGCAAUCUGCCCCUGACUCUGGGAUAAGCGCUGGAAACGGCGUCUAAUACCGGAUACGAGCUGCGACCGCAUGGUCGGCAGUUGGAAAGAAUUUCGGUCAGGGAUGAGCUCGCGGCCUAUCAGCUUGUUGGUGAGGUAAUGGCUCACCAAGGCGUCGACGGGUAGCCGGCCUGAGAGGGUGACCGGCCACACUGGGACUGAGACACGGCCCAGACUCCUACGGGAGGCAGCAGUGGGGAAUAUUGCACAAUGGGCGCAAGCCUGAUGCAGCAACGCCGCGUGAGGGAUGACGGCCUUCGGGUUGUAAACCUCUUUUAGCAGGGAAGAAGCGAAAGUGACGGUACCUGCAGAAAAAGCGCCGGCUAACUACGUGCCAGCAGCCGCGGUAAUACGUAGGGCGCAAGCGUUAUCCGGAAUUAUUGGGCGUAAAGAGCUCGUAGGCGGUCUGUCGCGUCUGCUGUGAAAACCCGAGGCUCAACCUCGGGCCUGCAGUGGGUACGGGCAGACUAGAGUGCGGUAGGGGAGAUUGGAAUUCCUGGUGUAGCGGUGGAAUGCGCAGAUAUCAGGAGGAACACCGAUGGCGAAGGCAGAUCUCUGGGCCGUAACUGACGCUGAGGAGCGAAAGGGUGGGGAGCAAACAGGCUUAGAUACCCUGGUAGUCCACCCCGUAAACGUUGGGAACUAGUUGUGGGGUCCAUUCCACGGAUUCCGUGACGCAGCUAACGCA
rnacentral:rRNA from 1 species